UACGGAGGGGGCAAGCGUUACUCGGAAUUAUUGGGCGUAAAGGGCGCGUAGGCGGUCGUGUGCGUCAGAGGUGAAAUCCCCGGGCUUAACCCGGGAGCUGCCUCUGAUACGGCAUGGCUUGAGUCCGGGAGAGGGGAGCAGAAUUCCCAGUGUAGCGGUGAAAUGCGUAGAUAUUGGGAGGAAUACCGGUGGCGAAGGCGGCUCCCUGGACCGGUACUGACGCUGAGGCGCGAAAGCGUGGGUAGCAAACAGGAUUAGAUACCCUGGUAGUCCACGCCGUAAACGAUGGGUGCUUGGUGUCGGGGGUAUCGACCCCUCCGGUGCCGAAGCUAACGCAUUAAGCACCCCGCCUGGGGAGUACGGUCGCAAGGCUGAA
rnacentral:rRNA from 1 species